rnacentral:rRNA from 1 species
AACGAACGCUGGCGGCAGGCUUAACACAUGCAAGUCGAACGCCCCGCAAGGGGAGUGGCAGCCGGGUGAGUAACGCGUGGGAACAUACCCUUUCCUGCGGAAUAGCUCCGGGAAACUGGAAUUAAUACCGCAUACGCCCUACGGGGGAAAGAUUUAUCGGGGAAGGAUUGGCCCGCGUUGGAUUAGCUAGUUGGUGGGGUAAAGGCCUACCAAGGCGACGAUCCAUAGCUGGUCUGAGAGGAUGAUCAGCCACAUUGGGACUGAGACACGGCCCAAACUCCUACGGGAGGCAGCAGUGGGGAAUAUUGGACAAUGGGCGCAAGCCUGAUCCAGCCAUGCCGCGUGAGUGAUGAAGGCCUUAGGGUUGUAAAGCUCUUUCACCGAUGAAGAUAAUGACGGUAGUCGGAGAAGAAGCCCCGGCUAACUUCGUG